rnacentral:rRNA from 1 species
AUAGAGACUCAGAGCUGCAUAUCAAUAAGCGGAGGAAAAGAAACUAACAUAGGAUUCCCUCAGUAACGGCGAGUGAAGCGGGAAGAGCUCAAAUUUGAAAUCUUCGAGGUUCUACCUUGACGAAUUGUAGUUUAAAGAAGUGUUUUCUGUUAGAGUUUGAGUAGCAAAAGUUCUUUGGAAUAGGACAUCAUAGAGGGUGAGAAUCCCGUAUUUGACCAGUUACUUUCCAGCGUUGUGAUACACUUUCAAAGAGUCGGAUUGUUUGGGAAUGCAGUCCAAAAUGGGUGGUAAAUUUCAUCUAAAGCUAAAUAUUGGCGAGAGACCGAUAGCGAACAAGUACCGUGAGGGAAAGAUGAAAAGAACUUUGAAAAGAGAGUUAAACAGUACGUGAAAUUGUCAAAAGGGAAGCGUUUGACACCAGUGUUGUUUUCUCGAAAAUCAAUUACAAAUGGCUUGGACUUUGUGUUGUAUUGACCUUAUCAGCUUUCUGCACCUUUUUCUAGUCUUUCUUAAUGCACUUUUCGGUUAACAAGUCAACAUCAAUUUCUUUUGUCGUAAAAGGAGUCAUUCGGAAGGUGGCUUUCUUUUCGGAGAAAGUGUUUAUAGCCCUAUACUUCUACAAUCGGAGAGAUUGAGGUCUGCAGCGUAGAUCCUUCGGGGUUAGAUACAUUUGUGCUAAGUUAUAGCUUUUCAUAGACAACUUGUUGACUAUGAUUAGUCAUUGUAGCUUACUCGCUUACUGCUAUUUUACCUACGCUUAGGAUGUUGACGAUCAGCUGAGCGCG